UACGAAGGGUGCAAACGUUGCUCGGAAUUAUUGGGCGUAAAGCGCACGUAGGCGGCUUUGUAAGUUAGAGGUGAAAGCCCGGGGCUCAACCCCGGAAUUGCCUUUAAGACUGCAUCGCUUGAAUCCGGGAGAGGUGAGUGGAAUUCCGAGUGUAGAGGUGAAAUUCGUAGAUAUUCGGAAGAACACCAGUGGCGAAGGCGGCUCACUGGACCGGCAUUGACGCUGAGGUGCGAAAGCGUGGGGAGCAAACAGG
rnacentral:rRNA from 1 species